AUUGAACGCUGGCGGCGUGCUUAACACAUGCAAGUCGAGCGGUAACAGGCGUAGCAAUACGUGCUGACGAGCGGCGAACGGGUGAGUAAUGCUUCGGAAUCUUCCUUGUAGUGGGGAAUAACCUGGGGAAACUCAGGCUAAUGCCGCAUACGAACCAUGGUUGCAAGCGGGGGAUCGCAAGACCUCGCGCUAUAAGAUGAGCCGAAGUCGGAUUAGCUAGUUGGUGGGGUAAAGGCCUACCAAGGCGACGAUCCGUAGCUGGUCUGAGAGGACGACCAGCAACACUGGGACUGAGACACGGCCCAGACUCCUACGGGAGGCAGCAGUGGGGAAUAUUGGACAAUGGGGGCAACCCUGAUCCAGCGACGCCGCGUGUGUGAAGAAGGCCUGCGGGUUGUAAAGCACUUUUAGUGGGGACAAAAAGCCGAGGGCUAAUACCUUUCGGUCUUGAUUCAACCCAAAGAAAAAGCACCGGCUAACUCUGUGCCAGCCGCCGCAGUAACAC
rnacentral:rRNA from 1 species